UGAGCAGGGGGGAAGCGCCGUGUGACAAACAGCCAACAGGAGGGCAAUAUCAAGGAGGUGCAGAGAGUUAUUUGUUGCUUAAUGAAGAGCCUCUCGAGGCUGAAAAUUUACAGUGCUUUCACAGUUCAAUUUCGUUGGAGGAGGGAAUAAAAAUAAGCCUUGAGUGGAGCGCAGAGGAAGCGGCACAGACCCCGCAGACCCGCGGCCCAAAACUGGAUUGACAAGGGAAGGCUUGAGAACACCAGCCAGCCAAGAAAGGACUUGGACUGAAAAGAACAUUUUACAAAAGAUUGUUGAUUCUGCUGGGAUGAAUCAAAGCUAGAGCUGUAACAUUGAGGGAAGAGAAUUCAAACAGAAAGGCAAAAAUGAAGGAUCUGGGACAUACAACAAAUGCAUCACUUUAGGUAACACUGGAGGCAGUCUGUAAGUGCCUGUGAGAUGGGCAGACUCGGCCUUUAUGGAGUGCCUUUAUGGAAGUUUGAGCUACCACGUGUGGAAAACACCACCAAGAUUUCUACUCCAGCUGCUGCUUGGUGAGGAAUAAUGUAAACAGAGACUUCCCCAGGGAAUGAAGAUCUUGUUUUCAUGACAGCUUCUUUGAUUUUUUGUUAUUUAAAAAUAUAGAAAAAGGAAGGGAGUGUAAUUACACAGAAAUCUGGCUAAGGAUAAUUGCUAUUCAGAGCAUCCCACGAGGCCAAAAAAGGCCUUGGAGGGCAGCAUAUUUAACUCAAAACAGAAAUGCUGAAUAUGUGUGAGUAUUUUAUAAAUCACAGGUGUCACCUCAUCAGGGUCUUUUUUC